AAAAAGCAAGAGUUUUCUCAUUUUUGUGGCAUUACUCGUCGUGAACAUGAAGGCUAUAGUGGCACUGUGGUUCAUGGUUCUGUUAGGGCUAUCAAUCGCCCAGGAUCGCGGACCGUGCGGCUGCUUAAAGUCCUUUACUUUUUGCGCCAACGACUACCAGACAUACCGGAGCAUCUGCGAGUACAAGUGUAUGCAUCCCACCGUCCAGUUUCAGGACUGGUUUAUACUGUACCAAGGAGAGUGUCAGUAGUCUGAUGUUUGUCCAGUAGAUGGAGUUACCACGUAUGUCGUGUGGUAUUAAAAAUUAAAACAUU